ACGGUGGAGGAUUAUUUCCGGCUCUAGGAAAGGGCGGGACGUGUUUGAAGCGGCCGAACUGUGUCGGCUCAGAGAGAAUGUCUCAGGACCGCGCGGAGCCGGCGACCACCAUAAUGCUGGAGGAGUUGGCAGGCUGGUCCGAGGACCUAUGUCGUCAGGAGCUGCCUUCUGUCCUGCCCCGGCUUCUCUCUAUAUAUCAGUGUUCUGAUAACUGGAAGGAUCACAUAAGAGUUCUCAAGAUUCUUACAGAAAUGUUUCUACCUCAUAUCAACUACUUAGCCUUGGAACAGUCAUUUUUUUCACAAGUAUUACCAAAGACUGUAAAAUUGUUUGAUCAUAUGAUGUAUGAUUUAUCCAGUCAGGCAGGAGAGUUAUCGAGUCAAAAUUUAGAACUCCAAGCCACACUAAGGAAUAUUUUACAAUCAAUGGUGCAACUGUUAGGAGCCCUUAGAGGAUGUGUACAACAUGUUUGUACUCUGCAGGAAUCCAUAGUUCUAGAGAAUAUACACAGCCUCCCCUCUUCAGUCCUUCAUGUAAUCAAGAGCACAUUUAUACACUGCAAGAAUAGUGACUCUGUGUACUCUGGACGAUUGCACCUGGUUUCAGAUCUUCUUCAGGCCCUUUUCAAGGAGGCUUAUUCCCUUCAGAAGCACUUUAUGGAACUACUCGAUAUGGUCUGUAUGGAUGCUUCAGUGGUAGAAGAAGAUAUUUCAGAUAUGGUAUCAGUUAUUCAUUCAGUUUUGGAUAUCUGCUCUGUUAUAUCCGAUAUGGACCAAGCUUUUCAUGCCAACACUUGGAAGUUUAUAAUUAAGCAGAGCCUUAAGCACCAGGCUGUGAUAAAGAGUCAGUUGAAGCACAAAGAUAUAGUGGCUGCCUUAAGUGAAGACAUUCUCUUCUCCUUCCAUUCUUGUUUACAGUUAGCUGAACAGAUGACACAGUCAGAGACACAGGAUAGUGCUGACAACAAAUUAUUCCAUAAAAGAGUUAAAUUAUGUCGCUUCUUUGCCAAUUCCCUUUUGCACUACACUAAGGAAUUUCUUCCUUUUCUCUCUGAUUCCUGCUGUACACUACAUCAGCUUUAUCUUCAGAUACACAGUAAGUUUCCUCCAAGUCUGUAUGCUACAAUGAUUCCUAAGACACAAGAAAAGGAAAUAUUAGGUGUAUUUCUAGUGACUCUGGAUCCACUCAUCAGUCAGCUUUUAUCAUUCACCCCUUUUGUGGAGGCAGUAUUAGGAGACAAAUUAGACCUGUCUUCUGAGCUACAGCUUCCACAGUGUCUCCUCCUGGUUAACAUAAUGGAUAAACUACCUUCUCAGCCUGAAAAUGUACAGAGUCUUUGGUGUGAGAGAAGCCAAUUUCCUGAACAUAAACCCAGUGUUCUUGCUUUCUCUAGAAUGUCUUUGCUUGAAGCCAUUUUCUACAGUUUUGAGCAGUGUUCGGGGGAGCUUUCUUUACCUGCUAAUUUGCCAGAAGUUAUGACUAAAGGACAAGCUGAAGUGUCUGUCACCUUAUAUCAGUAUGUCUGUGUCCACUUGUGCAACUUCGUUGCUUCGUUUCACCCAUCACUGUUCCCUGAACUGGAUGUCACAUUAUUGAAUGCUGUACUUAGUUCUGGAAUGAUCACCUCCUUAUUAGCUAUGGAUACAUGGUGCUUCCUGGCCCGGUAUGGGACUGCUGAACUCUGUGCCCAUCAUGUGUUCAUAAUAGCACAUCUGAUUAAGUCUUGCCCUGGAGAAUGUUACCAGCUCACUAAUUUGUCGGUUCUGCUAAGGCGACUAUUAUUCCUCAUGGAUACAGACCAUCAGAUGGAGUUUAUCCAGAAAUUUUCCCCUAAAGAAGCAGAAAAUCUGCCUUUGUGGCAGCAUAUUUCCUUCAAGGCUUUUUCUCCUGAACUUAAAAGCCAAAUAGCAAAUGAAGUCACCAUGGUGGGAAUUGCACAGUGUAAGAAAUGGCUAAGCAGCAGGCAUACUUUGGGAGAACUUGAAUCUGUGAACGUUGCACUCUCUGCUUUGUUUACUGUAUGUAAUUCCACAAGUGAAGCUUUGGAGAUGGGCCAGCAAGCAGGAGUCCUGGAAGCUGUGAGUCCGCUCUGGACAAUCUUACAUGUUAAACAGGUCUCAAGUCAGCCUUAUGUUCAGUGGACCCUCAGCCUUUUACUUCCACUCUUGGGAUUUUUCAUACAAGCUAUAGAACCUCAGCUGAUAAGUCAGGUGGUAACUCUGCAGGCUUCUUUACUUAAAUUGGAUCCUCCUGACUAUGUCCGUUUGGCAAUUCUGGAUUUUGUGUCUUCUUUAGGGAGAAUUUUUAUUCCGCAAGCUAUCCAGGAAAAAGUUUUACCGAGUUUGCCUUCCAUUUUUACCUUGCUGCUAACUGAUAAGAGUUGGCUGAUAGAACAGCAUACCUUGGAGGCAUUUACAGACUUUGCAGAGGGAACAAAUCAUGAAGAUACAGUUCCACAGUGUCUUAAUUCUGAAGAAACCAAGAACAAGGUUAUAUGCUUUCUAGAGAAGACUAGAAUGGUAGAUGAAACAGCACGUGAGAGAGUGUACAGGAUGAAGCAGGAAAAGCAAGUCUUAAAUGGACACUUUGUUAAAGUAAAAGUUGAAAGAGAAAGAUGUUUCUCAACUUUACAGCCCUGUGCCAAGAGAAUACGGCAGGAGUUUCCCCUGGAAGACGAGUUCAGGUCAACACUGCAAACAGCAGAAGGCGCCUUAGAAGCAGUCCAGUUAUUGCUGCAAAGAUCUCCUGCCCCUGACUGGCUAACAGUGAAACUAGAGGAGCUACAAACGAAGAUAAAUACAUUAAAAAGUUGUGCACAGCCUUCAGCUUCUCCCUGCAACGAGAACACGUGAAAUUAAGUACUUUCAGAAGAACUGAAUGGGCCACACUUUACUCUUAUAUUUUGGAGGCAAAAUAUAACUUGACAUUGUAUAAAAACAAGAUAAACCUUAACAACUAGGACUGAAACUCUGAAACCUUUGUCUCUUUCCAAGGUUAAUAAUACCACUAAACCUGAAAAAAUAACAAGGUGACCAAGUACAGCAAGGAUCACAGACAACAAGGCUGGGAGAUGAACCAGUAAGUAUCAGGCAUCCAGGCACUUUGCCAGGUGCUAUGGAGAGAAAGACAUUUUUUGCCAUUGAAGCUUCUCUGCAUCUCACUCUCCCAUAAAUUAGGUUAAGAUAUCAUUUACCCUUACCCCUAUCCUACCCUUGUGGAAGUAAAAGGAUAUUUACGGCAUAAAGCUAGGCUGCCAAUAAGCUUUCAUUCAUAAAUUAAUAAUUUACUCUGUACCUGUGAUGUUCCUAGUACCAAGCUAGGCCCUGUAAGAGUAUAUAAAAGAAGUUUCAGGCAUGGCUGUAUACUCGUAUACAUGAUUAUAUAGUGACGAAGGUCACUAUCUAACUGGGGAAAAACAACCAGUAUACAUAAUAACAGUUAUAUAAUGAUUUAUUAUGAAACUAUGGAGUUGUAAUGUGAGUGCAAGAGGCGCUCUGAGAAAAGAAAGGGGUGCAGGCUAAUGCCAUCCUGGAGGAAGCAGGCCCACAACUAGUUCUGGAGGUUGAGGUUAGGCAAGCAGAAGGAAAAGAGAGCAUUGCAGAGAGGGAAGACACGAGGAAAGGUGAGGAUGCAGGAAUAAGCACAGACUAUUUGGGGAAAAUGAACCGACCUGCAUACAGAGCCAGAGCCCAUUCAGGAGGGGCCUGAAAGCCACACAGGAAUUUAGACUGAAUACUCUGUAGGAUCCAUCAGCUAACUGGCAUGAGAAAAAAUAGCUUUAGGAAGAUUAGUCUCACAACAGAAUGAAUUACAAGGGAAGAGAUGAAGGCAGAGAGCCAAAAUAGCUAGAGGAACCAGAGUAAAGCUGUUGCCAUAAAAGAUGAAAGAGCAUGUUCUACCGGAAGAGUCCUAGCUCAAGAAUCAGGUUUCAAUUCUGUGACCUUGGGCAGGUCACUGGUUACCUCUCAGAUGGACUAAGUUAUCUUUAAAGUCCUUUUAGGUCUAAAAUGAUAUUAUCUUCUAUGGUUAAGAACAGUUGGUCAGGAAAAAAAAAUCUGCCUCUUAAGGGUACAGGUAGUUGGUAAUUCCAAAGGAAAGACAAUGGAUGGAAAUUAGGCCACUAAAGCUUAUCAUUGUUACUACAAAAAACCAAAAUUGUACAAAACCCUCUAACAACCAGAAGCCUACUUGUCUCAAUCCAACAUAAAAGUCUAUUCUGU